rnacentral:rRNA from 1 species
AGUGAACGCUGGCGGUAGGCCUAACACAUGCAAGUCGAACGGCAGCACAGUAAGAGCUUGCUCUUACGGGUGGCGAGUGGCGGACGGGUGAGGAAUACAUCGGAAUCUACUUUUUCGUGGGGGAUAACGUAGGGAAACUUACGCUAAUACCGCAUACGACCUACGGGUGAAAGCAGGGGAUCUUCGGACCUUGCGCGAUUGAAUGAGCCGAUGUCGGAUUAGCUAGUUGGCGGGGUAAAGGCCCACCAAGGCGACGAUCCGUAGCUGGUCUGAGAGGAUGAUCAGCCACACUGGAACUGAGACACGGUCCAGACUCCUACGGGAGGCAGCAGCGGGUAAUAUUGGACAAUGGGCGCAAGCCUGAUCCAGCCAUACCGCGUGGGUGAAGAAGGCCUUCGGGUUGUAAAGCCCUUUUGUUGGGAAAGAAAAGCAGCAGGUUAAUACCCCGCUGUUCUGACGGUACCCAAAGAAUAAGCACCGGCUAACUUCGUG